UAGACCUCCUCCUUUCGCUCAGUAAGUGGCUGGUCCAUUAAAGAUAUUGAUGGUACUCACCCCAUUCAUCAUGCUGGCCGAGUCUGUUUCUUGGCUCUGUGACGCUGUUACCAUAUUUAUCCUGUCAACUUACUUGUGAGUUCCUGAGUCUUCAGCUAAGAUGGUGUUGUCUCCUGUUCUAGCAUUACCUGCUGUUUGUUCCUGACUCCCCAGCAACGUUGUCACCACUUUAGCCCUGUGCUCCUGGUUCCUAACUAUCUCUGUGCCGCUUCUGGCUGCCUGACUCACAUGAGUGCUCCCGGGACCAAAGCUCCCCCUUGGUUUUUGUCCCCUAAUCGUUUAAUAAAGACUUUCUAGAUUCUUCCUCGUCCUGCUCUGCAUUUUGGGCCCUAACCUAUUGUGAGAAUUGCAACAGUUUGGAGGUGAUAGUUCAACACAGCCAGGUCUCCCAGGGAUCCUCAUCUGUAUACCAGAAUCAGCAAAAAAAAAAAAAAAAGAUUCAACUGGAAAGCCUCCUCAGGCUUAUAAAGCAUGAAGGUGCUUGAAGGACGCCAUCAUCCCCCCCAAUUGAAGGUUCUCCUGCCCUCUGUGGGCACUGAGCUAAAGCUGUGAACCCUGUCAGCUGUCCACAUUCUAGCAUUAAGUGUCUGCUCUACAUUGUCACAGGGCCUGGCUUUAGCCUGCACCAUCUGGGGUGUUAGAGAGGGGAUACUAAGUCAUCGUUCAUUCUGUCCCAUUCAACCGAACUGUCAGGUCCACUGAGAUGACAGGACAUGAUGGACAGAAAGACAGACUAUGGGAGAUGGGGAACAUGGAGAAGAGGAGGAGCAGAAAGAUAAAGGCACUGUGACAGACAGGAGUAGACGGGCAGUUAAAAAGGAGAGAUGAGAGACCAGGGGGAGAAAAGAUAGACAAGACAGAGCUUGUUGAAAGGGAGAAGAAAGAUCAAGAAAGGGAAAUAGAGACAGAGCGUGGAAUAGAGAGGCUCGGACAGGAAAGGGGGGUUAUCUGUCUUUUAGUUUCAGACAAGGUCUGAUGGUUGCUCUCUUCACUUGUGUCAAGUGCAGCAUCAAUAUAAUGACUUGUUUGAUGCUUGGUCUCUGUGGCCCGGCAAACUGCUGCUAUUAUAACAGCAGACAGACGGCCAAUGUCAUGUCUGCUGUCUCUUUGGACCCAAAACGCCCAAGUGGUAUGGACCCAGUGAAAAACAUUGAUCAGUCUCAUGAGUCUGUGUGCCUCUUCACGUCAGCUUAGUGAUCAUAUUUUAUUUUUAAAUAUUGUUCUAAUGCAUUUCUUGA